AUACGUAUGGUGCAAGCGUUGUUCGGAGUUAUUGGGCGUAAAGGGCGUGUAGGCGGGAAGAUAAGUGGGUAGUGAAAUCUGCAGGCUCAACCCGUAGUCUGCUAUCCAAACUAUUUUUCUAGAGUUCAGGAGGGGCAAGGAGAAUUUGUGGUGUAGCGGUGAAAUGCGUAGAUAUCACAAGGAAUACCAGUGGCGAAGGCGCCUUGCUGGCCUGAAACUGACGCUUAGGCGCGAAAGCGUGGGGAGCAAACGGGAUUAGAUACCCCGGUAGUCC
rnacentral:rRNA from 1 species